AAUUGGCGGGACUCAAAAAAGCAUCCAUAUUAGUGGCGCAGAUUCUCACGGGAAACUGUGGAUAUUCGGAAAUGGUACUGGAUCGGCGCUUAUGUUCUUGGGCACAGUCUCAUGGUUCCCCUGCUGUGUCUGAUCCGAGGCACCGAUGAGAUUCCCUCUGAGCUCGACCCAAACUACAGAACAAUGGUCUGAUGCAGUAGAUUUAGCUUCAUGAUAGCACAAAUGAAGAAAGUGCAGGUUCUAUUUCACUUGAAACUGUGGUUUUCUGAUUCAUUAGCUGAAGUUUCUUUACUACUGCGGAAUUUAAGUUGUAACUGGACCGAGGUGUAUGCUCACCGGCGCAGUUGCUUGCAAUUUAUUGUCCUCGUUUCGUCCGUUAUACAUGAGUGGCUACGGCGUAGAUGCUAAACCAAGUUUAAUACAACACAUCACUGCUCGUUGAUUAGCCAAAGCAAUGACUGAAUCCUGCAGUGUCCAUUUUUCUGCCUUUUGCAGGCUCUUGAAGCAGUGAAAAGGAUAUGUCCGAAGCAAGUCAUGCUAAUUGGAAUGGGUCAUGUAUUUGAUCGUCACGUGGAUAAUGGGUUCCUUAACCAAUGGUCUAUAAGGAACGUAAUCAAUAACACAUGAAGAGACAAGGACAAAAUACAAGAAGAAUGUGCCAGAAGCAUUGUACUAUGAUAAAGAAGUUUGAGAGAAAAGGUAAGUUUUUUUACAUACCAUGCUACGAUCUGAACUUUACACAUUUGCUCCUAAAAGUACUUGGCAAUUUCAACUUCCUCAGUGCUUGAUAACUUUUCCAUCCUAAGCUUAGGUGAAAUUUUUAUUACCUUCAUUAAUGGGUUAAUUCCAAUAUAAGUAGUUUAAUUGUGUUUGAUAAAAGAAGAGAGAAAGAACUUUGAAUUUGUUUAAAUAAAUGAAGAUUUUUUUUUGGAAAAUGUGACCUGCCCGUUGUCAUGAAAAGGGGAUCCGUAGAAAAAACUUAGAUCCAAAGAUCACAAGAAAAUAAAUGUAGGUUGAUUAGUCUUAAUCCAACAUCUCCCCAUUUGAAGAGAAUUUUGAUCCCUGUACAUUUACUGAUCAUCCAAGAUCUUUUCAAAGAUCAUAAUAAUAUCCUNUCCUGACCCCCCCCCCCCCCUUCGCCCUUCCCCAAGAGUGCUGAUGAACAUAAAUCUUAGCCAAUGAUCUGAUAGAUUUAGUAGUGAUUUUUGUCCUCAUUACCUCUUUGAAUAGAUGGUUAUUUGUUCCUCCCACCUCUCUCCAUUGUAUAGCCACCCUUUUCUACAGGAAAUCCCAAACAAGGCACAUUCUUUGACACAGGCAUGGUACAAGUGGGGAUAAAGAGAAUUUCAAUUCUAAAAGAGAAGUCAAGUAAAUUAGGUUUUGUCGGUUUUAAACAAGUAAAUCUAAGAGUUCAAUUAGAACUGAACUUGAACUUAAACCAGUUAAGACACAUAUUCCUGUCUAAGAACUAGAAAAAAAAAUUUAGAAAUUAAUGAAUGAGAUUGGAAUGAAAUGCUUGAGAAUGUGAAAAGAAGGUUUGAACAAUGGAUGCAUAUGUUAAAUCAAGUGAACAGUUCCAACCCAGGUCAAUCAAGGAAUUAAUAAAACAAGAAAGUGGUUCAUAAAGGAAUGUGAUUAUGCAAGUGCUUUACUUGCCAAGGGAAUGUGAAAAGAAGGUUUGAACUAUGGAUGUAUAUGUUAAAUCAAGUGAACAUUUCCAACCUGGGUCCUUAAAGGAAUUAAUAAAACAAAAAGUAGAAAAAAGAAAGGAGCCCAAAUGUCUAAAAACGUGGAGAGUAUGGUCAAAGAAAGCAGGUAAGGAGUCAAAUCAUGUCUGUAUUGUUCAAAGAGAUGCAAAUGGUCAAAUAAAAUCAACAAGGACGUGUAAUUCAUGCCCUAACACACACCAAAAGACAUGUCGACCCAACACAACACGUGAUCAACACCCAACCCUCCCCUUCACUUUGAUUCUCCAUAAAGAAUGUUUUUGGACUUCACAAUUUCACCCCCCUCAAAUGCUAUUGGAAAAUAUGAUUUAUUAUUUAUUAUUUUGUUUGAAAAUAUUAUUAAUGCAACCCCAACCUCUUCCUUGGGGUUUGAGUUUACAGGAUAGUCAUUAGGCUUCUCGAGAUGCUUUUGAUUGUUUGAUAGAAAUAUGUUAUAGGUUAGUUCUUCUAAAUAUUUUCAAUUAUAUUCUUCUAGUUGAUAAUAACAAAUUUGAUUUAUUAUACUA